AGCUCUCCGAGUGGUGUGGAUGUUUAUUGGGCCUAAAGCAUCCGUAGCUGGCCAAGUUAGUCCCCUGUUAAACCCACCGAAUCAAUCGUUGGAUUGCGGGGGAUACUGCUCGGCUAGGGGACGAGAGAGGCAGACGGUAUUUUCGGGGUAGGGGUGAAAUCCUAUAAUCCCCGGGAAGACCACCAGUGGCGAAGGCUGUCUGCUAGAACGCGCCCGACGGUGAGGGAUGAAAGCUGGGGGAGCGAACC
rnacentral:rRNA from 1 species